rnacentral:lncRNA from 1 species
CUCUAAAUGGACUGAUACAAAAAUAUAUAUACAAAUCUACUUUAUAACCAGUUAUCUUAUCAAAAUAAAAUAUCUACGUCGAUUUUAAAUGAGAGAUAAUUAUGUUUACAUUCAACGUUUAAUAUAAAAAAAUUUUAUAUAGUUAAACAGAAAGGAGGGUAUUCAUAAGGAGGCAUUCAUUGCUAUCCUUUUAAAAAUUUUAUGCUGUUAGAAAAAUUCGGAAAUUGUGGAAUAACUCUUUCUGUCUGUUAUAUAUACCUGUGUCUGUCUGGAAUCGAACUGUUCCUUUGUAUGAAGCGCUUUAGGCGAAUAUUCACGCUUCCCUUCAUUCAUUGUUCUGUGCCGUUUGGGGUUUUACUUCAAUCAUCUGCCAACAAUAGCUGUUUAAGUGUGUUUCCAUAUACAAUAGCAUCUCGGUGCAAGGAAACACUCUCUGUAUUGUAAGAUGUAAAGAAUCAAAAUUUCAGUUUCCAAUAUAUCACUGAUCCAUAGUAAACGUUUCGAAAGAUUUACUACUCUCAAUGGACGCACAAAAUUUAUCUUCCAGGUCUUCGGGGAAUGACUUGAAGUGACUGCCUACCUGUCAUUUUUUUGAUACUAAUUGUUUUUUGCCUAAAAUUUUUCCAGAAUUUUCCAAACUUUCGACGUUACUUUUCUUGUCAUUUUUAUAAAACUGAAUGUGAGGAAACUUGAAGAUAUG